UUAUUUACAAUGGCUGCCACUGGC
rnacentral:siRNA from 1 species